AUGAAGCUCCUCGGAGUGUAAACCACUGUUGCCCGGGACGAAUAGCUUGAUUAAUCGAGCCUGACGGUACCGGGUGAGGAAGCACCGGCUUAACUCCGUGCCAGCAGCCGCGGUAAUACGGGGGGUGCGAGCGUUGUCCGGAAUCACUGGGCGUAAAGGGCGCGUAGGUGGUUUGAUAAGGGUGUGGUGAAAGUCCGGGGCUCAACCCCGGAUCUGCCGUGCCGACUGUCAAACUCGAGGACUGUAGAGGCAGACGGAAUUCCGGGUGUAGCGGUGGAAUGCGUAGAGAUCCGGAGGAAGACCGGUGGCGAAGGCGGUCUGCUGGGCAGUUUCUGACACUGAGGCGCGACAGCGUGGGGAGCAAACAGGAUUAGAUACCCUGGUAGUCCACGCCGUAAACGAUGGGUACUAGGUGCCUGGGGGAGCGACCCUCUGGGUGCCGGCGCUAACGCAGGAAGUACCCCGCCUGGGGAGUACGACCGCAAGGUUGAAACUCAAAGGAAUUGACGGGGGCCCGCACAAGCGGUGGAGCAUGUGGUUUAAUUCGACGCAACGCGAAGAACCUUACCUAGGCUUGACAUGCAGGAGCAAGCUCUCAGAAACGAGAGCCCCUCUUCGGAGAUCCUGCACAG
rnacentral:rRNA from 1 species